rnacentral:lncRNA from 1 species
UCUACUCGAGUCCUCCUGCGAGACUGCUCGAUCGACAAUGGUUGCCCAGAAAGAAAAGGAGAUAAUGAAGACCAUUGGGUUGCUUCCAUUAGAUGAUGAUGGCAAGAGGCAAUUCUAGUUAAGCUAGCAAGCAAAACGGAGAUGGCUUAGUUUGUGUGGCAAUAGAAUGGGGAAGACAAAAGAGUAUAAGUUUCUUGAUUAAGGAUUGGGUGUAUAAAUAUAUCAUUAAGCAAAGUUUAUAUAUAUAU